AGAUAAUUAACUCAACGGCAGAGUAUCUCGCUUACAACGAGAAAGUUAGUGGUUCAAAUCCGCUAUUAUCUA